rnacentral:misc_RNA from 1 species
AGUACAACCAAAACUCCUUCCACCCGUAAACAAAGCUCAUGAUGGGAAUGACAAUGCAAUGUAUGAUCAAAUAAUUGUAAAAAACAGUGUCAAGACUCCUUUGCAGUGAAAACAAGAGAAGGGAAGAAACCAGGUGGGUUGAGGGAACAAGGGCCAUAUCGUUAAACUUGCUGGUAGAUAAAAACAGCACAAAAUCAAUAGAACAACAAUAUAUCACGAAAAUUUGAAGAUGAAGAGGUAUUUUAGUUCAAAAAACAUAAGAUUGUAAAUAUAUGCUUUAGACCAAAACGUAUUGGUCACCUCAUCAUGGGACAGAGCAUCAAUGGGAGAGUCCAAAUAACCAUUCACUAUGAGAACUAAGGAGAUUCCAGGAAAUCACGUUAAAGAAUAGAAAUCUUCACAACACAUGGAAGUUCUCUUCUGGAUGUCUAAAAUCAGGUAACAUAACUUUUGUUUUCAAACCUCAAAUUAUAAUUUCAGAAGGAAGACUAGAAGUCAUCCAUCACCCCCUUCCCUGUUCUUACUCUAAAGGGAUAAUAUUAACAAGAAAUUUGACAAAUAUAGUAUGCUGGAAAUAUACAAGCCAAGGUCAGAUGGUAUAGUUUCCCAUGUGCCAAAAGUUCAAAUUACAGAAAGAACCCCUUUCAACCAACAGCCAGACGCUUUAUUUUCAUCCACAAUGAGCAUAAAACAAAUCAAAAUAAAUGUUAGCACUAAAAUAUAUGCAUAAAAAAAAUCCCUUCUUUCUUUGCUGUUAUACUAUCACAAUUUCCACAAAAGCACGAAGAAAGCCCAAUGUCUUAGGUUCUACAAGAAUA